UACGGAGGGUGCGAGCGUUGUCCGGAAUCAUUGGGCGUAAAGGGCGCGUAGGUGGCGGGACAAGCGUGCGGUGAAAGCCUGGGGCUCAACCCCGGGUCGGCCGUGCGAACUGUUUUGCUUGAGCACUGUAGAGGCAGGCGGAAUUCCAGGUGUAGCGGUGAAAUGCGUAGAUAUCUGGAGGAACACCGGUGGCGAAGGCGGCAUCCUGGACCGAGAUUGACGCUGAGGCGCGAAAGCCAGGGGAGCAAACGGG
rnacentral:rRNA from 1 species